rnacentral:rRNA from 1 species
AUUGAACGCUGGCGGCAGGCCUAACACAUGCAAGUCGAGCGAGCGGCGGACGGGGGAGUAAUGUCUGGGAAACUGCCUGAUGGAGGGGGAUAACUACUGGAAACGGUAGCAAAUAACGCAUACCAUCAGAGGUGCCCAGAUGGGAUUAGCUGGUAGGUUGGGUAACGGAUCACCUAGGCGACGAUCCCUAGCUGGUCUGAGAGGAUGACCAGCCACCCUGGAACUGAGACACGGUCCAGACACCUCCGGGAGGCAGCAGUGGGGAAUAUUGCACAAUGGGCGCAAGCCUGAUGCAGCCAUGCCGCGUGUGUGAAGAAGGCCUUCGGGUUGUAGAGCACUUUCAGCGGGGAGGCGUUACCCGCAGAAGAAGCACCGGCUAACUCCGUGCCAGCAGCCGCGGUAAUAC